rnacentral:rRNA from 1 species
GCGUAACGCGUGGGAAUCUGCCCUCUGGUACGGAAUAACUCAGGGAAACUUGAGCUAAUACCGUAUAAUGACUCCGGUCCAAAGAUUUAUCGCCUGAGGAUGAGCCCGCGUCGGAUUAGCUAGUUGGUGAGGUAAAAGCUCACCAAGGCGACGAUCCGUAGCUGGUUUGAGGGGAUGAUCAGCCACACUGGGACUGAGACACGGCCCAGACUCCUACGGGAGGCAGCAGUGGGGAAUACUGGACAAUGGGCGCAAGCCUGAUCCAGCAAUGCCGCGUGAGUGAUGAAGGCCUUAGGGUUGUAA